rnacentral:misc_RNA from 1 species
UUUGUGUUUAAUGAUCAAUUUACUGCUCCACUAUAUCGUAUAAAGGUAAAUGCCAUCCAGAUGAAGGAAACAGUUGAGGAGAACACAAGCACUACUGAGAGAGUAUUUCAGGACCGGCAGUACCAGGUUGAUGCUGCUAUUGUUAGGAUAAUGAAGACCAGAAAAGUGCUGAGUCAUACCCUCUUAAUAACUGAACUCUUUCAGCAGCUUAAAUUCCCAAUAAAACCAGCUGAUCUGAAGAAAAGGAUUGAAAGCCUCAUAGAUAGGGAGUACCUGGAACGGGACAAAAACAAUCCUCAAAUAUACAACUACCUUGCUUAGAAUGUUCCCAGACAUCUAUAUUUUUUUUUUCCAUGUAAAUGACUCGGGAGACUUCCUUGUCAGCUUCUGUACAGUUGACUUUGUAACCAUUAAUUUUGUUGUCAUAUACAUUGUAGAGUUUAUAUUUAAG